rnacentral:rRNA from 14 species
GUCUACAGCCAUACCGCACUGAACAUGCCCCAUGUCAUCUGAUCUCAGAAGCUAAGCAGGGUUGGGCCUGGUUAGUACUUGAAAGGAGGAAAAAGAUAGGGAGGCA